AUGGCAUGAAAUUUAACUGUUAAGAUGAUUUUCUAGCUCCAAAAUUAAUUGAAAAAUUCAUACAUUUAGAACUAACUGGAGCAGUAAUUCUAAAAUGGAUUACAAAAAGAGAUUAUAUAGUGGAGGAACACUUGGUAAAAGUAGAUCAAGUGGGUAUAAUAACAUUGUGACAAUAAUAAAGACAAAAUUGGGGCCAUGACAAUGUAUUUGUAGAGAUCAAAGACUUUCCAGUCACAAUUGUCCUUGAUCAAAGCUACCAUUUGCAUGUUUAUAGCUACCAUUUUACCAUAUUAUAAGAAGAGGAUACUACUAUUGUAGUUGCUAGAAUCUUCGGGUGCUGGUUCCAAGGACCUGGGAUCAAGUCCCAGCAUCAUCCGGAAUUCAGCUGAGAUUUCUCCUGUCCUAGUUUUUGAAACAAAUAGAUGCACUAACUCUAGUAUAUAUCUGUGAUAACCCAGCCCA
rnacentral:lncRNA from 1 species